UUUCUUUCAUCUAUUCAUCCACGAAAGUCAUAUUCAAUAUUUGGAAAAUAUCGACUUUAGACUUAAUGUUGUUUCCUAAUUUAACAGCACAAAGCUGACAGUUGAAUAAUGAUGAAGGCCAUGAGGCAAAGUCUAUCAAAAACCUUGCAGUACACAGAUAAGUCUCGGACUAUAGGUUUAUUUGGUUGAUUUAGAAAUGAGAAACGGUAUAUGUUUUACCGUUUAGUGAGUUGACUUAAUUAAAUAUACAAUUGAUGUACAGGUGGUGCAGUCUGUUGUACACAACAGGAGAUUUACACAGCAGGUCGAGCACAGCCGGUCGAGCAGUCAAAGGUUUAGAGACAGAAGCUUUAUUCAUUUGAAGGACAUGGGACAAAGACAUGACUGCAAAGAAAUACAAACCCAAGUUAGAGACAAACCCAUGCUCCUCCAGCAGGCCUGACUUGGAAGUUUCUGAUGUUGCGCCAUACUCCAACCAGAAGAAGCCUUCCUUUACUCUCAAAGAUGGGAAGAAGAGCUCUUCACGCGGACAGAGGAGAGAGGAGAGGGAACAUGAAGACAUGUGGGCCAAGGUAAAUCUGAUUGGUUAAGGUUGUUUGUUGACUCCAUUUGGUUGUUGUGUUUGGUUGAGUGUAUUUAAUUGAAAAAUUAAAUGAAUUAAUGAGGUGGAGAAGAAAUAUAUUAAAGAAAUAAUGGUUAUUAUAGGGAAUUCAAAGACAAAGGGGUAAUGGGAAAAGAGAAGGGACAAGAAGAAUGAAUUUUUUUUCAUAAGGGCAUUUAGAGUUAAAGUCCGGAAAAUGAUGGAGCAAAAUGUCAUUUUUGUCCUUUACUUAAGUAUAAGGAAAAAAUCUGAUAUGGAUAGCAAUGACUUUUAUUCGAUCCCAACACCUCUUGGACGUAAAACCACUCACAAACCACGUCACCAUGUAACAUAUUUUGACUUAGUUUGAAAAUAUAUUAUAUAUAUAACAUAAAUAUAGCAAUAAUAGUUUUAAAACUAGACCCCGAUUAAUCUCUGCGUAAAUCCCGUUAAUUUAUUCGGCGCUAGGCCCAGCGUAGUUUCGAACAAGGUUAAAAAGUCAUGAUUUCUCUUUUAAUAGCAUAGAUGAAGUGCAAAACUGUUUCUCUCGUGUAAAAUUGGAGAUGGAGCUCUUUCGGGACACUAGUUGAUGUUGCAGGGGAAAAUGGUCCAUGCCUAAUGGGAACUCCAAAACAAACAGUCGAGUCAGAUUUUAAUGGAGAAAAACAGGUCAUCUCCGUCUUGAAUAUUCAACCAAGGUAACAUGGGACUUACUAAGACCAUCAGACAUACGACUAAACCAUGGGCCAAAGCAGUUCAGUUCAAGAAUGCAAUACCUCGCCAUGCUCUCACGUUUUGGACAGUCAACCUAAACAGGCUUCCUGUUAGAGAGAGACUGGUAAAUUGGAGAAUGGCCUAUAAUGCCACAGUUGAAGCAAAGAGUUUGGUAGUGUUGAAAUAACCAAAAAAAAAUUUACCAAGAAGAGAGUAAAUGAUGUGAAGAGACUCUCUUGGUAUUACACUUCCAUAAUUUUCUACAAUCUUAUACUUUUGUUUUUUAGUUACAAUGGUCAACAUUAAUUUGCAAUUUUUAAUUUAUUUAAUUUAAUCUUAUGGAAUUACCUUACUUUUCGACACUGAAUGCCAUUCAGCCAUAAGUUUAGUUGGUCAAUAUUUUUCUGUAUAUUUGGCAUGUUACAUUAUAUAUCCCAAAAGAAACUAUAAAUACUACCCUUUGGGUAUUUGAGUUUUUAGAUCUAAAAUGAAUCAUCUCAUUAUUUUUAUAUUAGUUAUUGUUAUGUGUUUUGGUUCUAAAAAAACUAGUGGGUGUUCUCCAAACACUUUACAAUUUAAAAACCAACUUACAGCUGAUCAUACACUCGUUGUAGUCUGCGAGUCCAACAGAGGCGAACACAAAGAUUACAAGUAUGUACAAUUCAAUGAAAUAUACAACUUUCAGGUUGUAGAGAGAGGAAAAAAUAGAAUAGUAUGGAAAUAUAAAAGGACGGACUUGAAGAAUUACCGUGAUGUUAUAUUAUGGAGAGCAUAUAGAGGAGCCGCAAUGACUCGAUGUGGUCAGAUACACGAAUAUAUUGCUGAUCUUAAAGGUGUUUCUUUAGUGAAAAAUAAGAAACCGACCAAAGAAUUUUUUCCUUGGGGUAAACCAUUCUAUAAGGGCUAGUAUUUAUGAAGCUUAAAUUUUUUUUGUGCCUUGUACGUUGAGCCAUUUUAUUUAUUUAUUUUGGGUUAUAAUAUACAAACGAAUAACAAAAGUCUAUAAAUGCAAUUCAUUCAGUUUAUCUUUAUGUCUUGUUUGAUUAUUUUUGAGUAGUUACCUUGUUAGACUUAGGGUUUAUAUGGUUAUGGUGAAUUACUAAUAUUAGAACUGCUAAAGUGAUCAAUUAACAUCCUUCACAGAGUUAGGACUUAUUGCUUGCAUUCUAGAGUAGCUAACUAGGAUCAUGAUUUAGGAGUUAACAACUGCGAGAGUAAGCUCAUACUUAGCAAUAAUUCUGCUAAGCUAGGUUGUUAGACAUGAGCUGUACCUAGCUGGUUUAACCAAUUUAGUGAACUUAUCGAUCUAAUCUUAAAGCUUGUUUGGAAGUUUAUCGAUCGACACCCUAUAGGUGUAUCGAUCGACACCCAUUCCAUAUGACACACGAGAGUGUUGACAUCGAUUCAAACACGUAGACUCGCAGCGAGAGCUUGAUAUCUUACAUUACUAUUCGAGUUCUAGGAUUGAUUAUCACAUGCACUUAGCAACUAUAUCAUAAUUUGGAUUACCUAACCUGAAAGUCUAGGUUUUAUCUUAUCUGUGAACACACAUCUCAUCUAUCUUAUUUACUGCUAUUUAAUAUUUACAGUCUUAAUAAUCGUUUACCUAGUUUGAUCUUACUAUUCAUCUGAUCUAUUGUGUGCCCCCACUCCAUGUGGAUUCGAUCCCUAAGUGUUACAUCUCAUCUCUUAUUUGAGAGAAUUUUGGCUCAAGGGUUAAUCCUACUCCAACAUGUUUAGUUGGUGACUUCCAUGAUGCAUCUAGUCAUCUACAAUAGUAUUCUGUUUCAUGAUGGAGAACAUCAGUUAUGGAGUUCAAAGAGGAAGAACGAGUAACCUGAGAUGAGUGCAUCCCUAACUGAUUUGCCUCUCUCCAAACUCUUUCAUCCAUUAGCGUAACAUUAACAACUAGAGCUAUAUGGUCCCUUUUGUUCUCAUAAACAAGCUUAUUACGGAUUUUCCAAAUUCUCCAACCUACAAAGAAUGGAAGAGUAUUAAGAGGUUGGGAAUUUUUUAUUAUGUCCAUCAAGUUCUGGAAAACCUCAAAGAUAGCAUUGUCAGAUUCUUGUUGGCAAGAAAGUUCGCCAAGAGAGAAAGACCAGAUUUCUUUCGCCACUCUACAUGAUAUUAACAUAUGAUAGAUACUUUCAAUCUCUUCUCCACAAACCUAGAAAUAUCUAUAUAUUAUGAUUCCUCUCAUGUUCAAAUUUUCAGCCAUCGAUAGGCCUUUAUGAAGAACUUUCCACCAGAAAAUAUUUACUUGAGGUGGUAUGCUAAGAUUCCACAGCCUAUUAAUGAGGUUAUGCUGAUGCAUUAAAAGAGGAGAGGAAUGAACCUGAUUGGCAACGUCCUCAUAAUCCACUGCUCUUUGGACAUGGUACCCGCUUUUAACUGUAUAAUUUUAAAACGAAACAACAAAUGCAAAAAUAUAAUCAAAAUUUGGGGCACAAAAUUUUGCAAAACCAUAACAAAAGAUUCUAAAGAGAAAGGCACAACUAUAGCAAAUCUUCGAGAUUUCAGAACACAAUAAUGUCCAAAAGGAAACACAGCAAAACACAAACAAAAAUAUUUUAUUAAACCUAGUCGGCCUUGGCAGCAGAAGCAGCAUCUUGCCCUCUGAUACGACCAGUUCUCCUAGCAGCAAUAAGACCAACCUUCUGUCCCGGAGCUGCAUCACGUCUAACAGCACUGACGUGACCAAUGUGCUGAUGGUUACCUCCUCCAUUGGGAUCCUCCACUGGAUUCAUAUAGCCACACCACGAUCCUUAGGCCAUGAGUUCCUCUUAACACUGUACUUGUGGUAUGUGUUUUCUGCCUUGAUCAUCGGCUUCUCAGUCUUUCCACCACCAGCAACUUGACCGAUCAUAGCCCUGCAUCCACUCGGAACAAUCUUCUUCGAAGCAGAUGGCAACUCGAUCAUCUCACAACAUAUAUAACCCAUUAAUCAAAGUGAAAUUGAGAAACAAAUGUAUUUAAACCAAUCAUUCUUUACAACAACAAAUUAUUAGCACGAUCAAUUUAACCAUAGCUCAUAUUCAAAGACAAAACCUUCAAAACCAUAUUCAAAUAAGAUUAGCAUGGCCUUUGCGCAAGGAUGACAUGCACAAAUUGAGAAAUGUCCAAAUUGUUUCUAAAAUUUUCCGGAUCGGGUUUGGUUUUCCAUGUUUCUGAGUUUUGGAUGGACCAACAUCCACGGAAACUGCUCCGUGGUUAUGAAAUCCUAUUACUUGUCAUGAACCCUUUUUGAACAAAUUCUUCUUUUAAGAACCAACUGCCAUUGAUGCCUUUUAAUUGAGGAUUAGGCAUCUCUUCUUCUGUGUACUCAACACUGCUCAGAUUUCCAGUUUAGACACAGAAACAGGAGAAUUUGGAGGCUUGUCUCUUACUACAUUCACAUAAGUACACCUGUGAAUUUUCUAUGCAUUUCAAAGCAAAUCAUUUUGUUAAGAAAACGCUUUAACGAGCUAAGCAUCUACGUUGCUCACAUCUCUACUUAUAUCUGAACUUUCUCAGUAUUUUAGAAACAUGAAUCAGGAGUUUUGAUAAAAUAAGAUCCUCAAUGAGCACAAAAGCUUACAUGAACGCGCCAAAGCUGUGUAUAUCAGUCUUUGCAGUGAAUGUGCGUAAGUAACAACGUUGAGCACAAAUUAAGUUUGUGCCUAGACUUGAGAAGAGUCAUCAAAAUCUUCGCCGAUUAUAUAUUUAAGGUAAAAUCUUCGCCGAUUAUAUAUUUAAGGUUGUUUCUACAGCUUUUAGAAUGUUGUUACAAACUGACGCAAGAUUCGAUUAGCAUCCAGAAAGUAUUACCACGAAUAUAUAAUUUAAUUUUAGAACAAAACGAGAGAUGCACAAAUAUAUUUAAAAAAUGUGAAAUGAAAAUUGCAAAGGCAUAAUAACUUGGACAGAGAAGGACAAGAUUAUAACAAAAUCUUUUUGAGAUUUCAGAACACAACAAGGUCCAAAAGGAAAUACAACAAAAC